CGGGGAAUAUUGCACAAUGGGCGGAAGCCUGAUGCAGCGACGCCGCGUGGGGGAUGAAGGCCUUCGGGUUGUAAACUCCUUUCUACAGGGACGAAGCUUUUGUGACGGUACCUGUAUAAGAAGCACCUGCUAACUACGUGCCAGCAGCCGCGGUAAUACGUAGGGUGCGAGCGUUGUCCGGAAUUACUGGGCGUAAAGAGCUCGUAGGUGGUUUGUCGCGUCGUCUGUGAAAUUCCGGGGCUUAACUCCGGGCGUGCAGGCGAUACGGGCUGACUUGAGUGCUGUAGGGGAGACUGGAAUUCCUGGUGUAGCGGUGAAAUGCGCAGAUAUCAGGAGGAACACCGAUGGAGAAGGCAGGUCUCUGGGCAGUAACUGACGCUGAGGAGCGAAAGCAUGGGUAGCGAACAGG
rnacentral:rRNA from 1 species